ACAGGAGUGUGGGUGAAAGGAUUUCCUUUGCCUAAAGAGCUGACUUGAGGGUUCCCCCUGGGGGAGCUGGGGGCGUCUGUCCGGGGUCUCUGUACACCUGGGGGAGCAGGGGCUCAGCUCGGGCGUCCUCCUCUAAAGCGGCUGCACCGCUGGUGAGCAUCCCACGGGCGAAACUGGGCCCUCUAAGCUGGACAAGGCUGGGCCAGCACAGGGAGGUCAGGCUGUGCUCCCUCAGACCCGCGUCUGGGCCCCUCGUACCUGGCCUGCAGCUGCACCUGGGUGUCCGGGCUUAAUGAACACGCAUGUAAACACCUGGGCGGUAGGUAACAUCUCCUACAUCCGUGAAAUACGCUCAGACGAGUACCGGGGAUGCUUUUACGAAUAUGUAAAACGAUGCAAAGAAUCGUCUUCCCGCCCUGCGGGGACUGCGCGUUCCCUGUGAUGUGUGCAUGAGGGUCGGACCCCGAGGGUGUACCCCGCAGGAUGGAGCAGAGGUGGCCGGGGUCCCGGGCCGCCCCUGCCACUCCUCAGCGGGGAGCGAUGCCCGUAGCCUUUCCCCUGGGGAAUGGGACCAACCGGUGACAGCCCCAGGGCCCCGGGCUCCCUCCAGCCAGGGCCCGCGAAGAAGCAGUGACCUGCAGGGACCUUGAAGCCGGCUGGCCUGGGAACAGCCUCUGAGCGGGGGAGGACCUCGGGACGGUCUCCACAGGAGAGGAAGCUGCCAGAAGGAGCAGGAACAGACGUGCAGCUUGGGGGCUCUGCAGGGAUGAGGUGGGGGCCACCCCGGAGGACGAGGCUCUACCCGGCGUGCGGUGUGGUCUUAGGGAACAACCCUGCGUGUCCUCAACAUCAGCGAAGCCGUGGCCAAGUGUCUGCCUGGUGCCUGGGACACCGCCUGUCCCCACAAGGCAGGGGCCCAGGGGCAGCUGCUCUCGGCACCCCCCUCCCCGAGCAGGGAGGACCAGCUGCACGAUCAGGAGGACCCACGAAAUCCCAGGACAGAAAUCCUGGGCGCCUGGGGGACCCAGAGGCCGAGCCGGCCCCGCAGCCUCGCCCAGGGGGCUGGUGAGCGGCCCUCGCCGCCUAGCGGUGUCUUGUUGGCCGCUGUGGGGAGUCAUCAUCCUCCGGUCCUCUGCGCGCGACUCGUGACUUCGGGAGGCCAUCAGCGCCACCGAUCCUGGAGCAUUUCUUCGCCUGCCUCCCCUGCUGUCGCCGCCAUCACCCCGUCCCCCUCCCCCUGCCGC